rnacentral:lncRNA from 1 species
CCCGGCAGCCUCCUGCCCUCGGGGCACUCGCUCCCCCCGAGGUGUACUCCCCGAGGGCUGGGGGAGCGCAUUCCCUCCCGUCCUACUGAUUAACUUUCAGCAAAUGGGGAUGCCCAAAGGAGCAGAUAGCGAGUGACCUGUGGCCCUGCUGUUUGAUUCUGGAUGGAGUUACGUUUAGGAGCCUGGCAGCAAACUGGGGCACCUGUUCAAUUAGUGAUGAUGCCAUACUCUGGUUGAUUUCUGUGGGGCACAUCUGUCCCUUACCAAGAAGAUCAGGCCAAGGAACACCAGGAGGAGAAUCACAGCCACCAGGACCACAAUAACUAUGGCCCAUGCAGGGAAUGAAUCAUUCUCUCCCAUCUGUCCAGCGUGGAUACCUUUCUGUGAGCCAUCUUUAUUGAGG